GACGAACGCUGGCGGCGUGCUUAACACAUGCAAGUCGAACGGAAAGGCCCUGCUUUUGUGGGGUGCUCGAGUGGCGAACGGGUGAGUAACACGUGAGUAACCUGCCCUUGACUUUGGGAUAACUUCAGGAAACUGGGGCUAAUACCGGAUAGGAGCACCUGCUGCAUGGUGGGGGUUGGAAAGUUUCGGCGGUUGGGGAUGGACUCGCGGCUUAUCAGCUUGUUGGUGGGGUAGUGGCUUACCAAGGCUUUGACGGGUAGCCGGCCUGAGAGGUUGAACGGCCACAUUGGGACUGAGAGACGGCCCAGACGCCUACGGGACGCAGCAGUCGGGAAUAUUGCACAAUGGGCGGAAGCCUGAUGCAGCAACGCCGCGUGCGGGAUGACGGCCUUCGGGUUGUAAACCGCUUUCGCAUGUGACGAAGCGUGAGUGACGGUAAUGGGUAAAGAAGCACCGGCUAACUACGUG
rnacentral:rRNA from 1 species